GACGAACGCUGGCGGCGUGCCUAAUACAUGCAAGUCGAACGCUUCUUUCCUCCCGAGUGCUUGCACUCAAUUGGAAAGAGGAGUGGCGGACGGGUGAGUAACACGUGGGUAACCUACCCAUCAGAGGGGGAUAACACUUGGAAACAGGUGCUAAUACCGCAUAACAGUUUAUGCCGCAUGGCAUAAGAGUGAAAGGCGCUUUCGGGUGUCGCUGAUGGAUGGACCCGCGGUGCAUUAGCUAGUUGGUGAGGUAACGGCUCACCAAGGCCACGAUGCAUAGCCGACCUGAGAGGGUGAUCGGCCACACUGGGACUGAGACACGGCCCAGACUCCUACGGGAGGCAGCAGUAGGGAAUCUUCGGCAAAGGCCGAAAGUCUGACCGAGCAACGCCGCGUGAGUGAAGAAGGUUUUCGGAUCGUAAAACUCUGUUGUUAGAGAAGAACAAGGACGUUAGUAACUGAACGUCCCCUGACGGUAUCUAACCAGAAAGCCACGGCUAACUACGUG
rnacentral:rRNA from 1 species